rnacentral:rRNA from 1 species
UUUCGCAAUGCCCGAAAGGGUGACGAAGCGACGCCGCGUGGGUGAGGAAGGCCUUCGGGUUGUAAAGCCCUGUCAGGAGUUAUGAAAUGUAAGUGCGCUAAUAUCGUGCUUAUUUGACGAAGGCUCCAAAGGAAGCCACGGCUAACUCUGUGCCAGCAGCCGCGGUAAUACAGAGGUGGCGAGCGUUGUUCGGAAUUAUUGGGCGUAAAGAGCACGUAGGUGGGUUUGCAAGUCAGAUGUGAAAGCCUUCUGUUCAACGGAAGAAUUGCAUCUGAAACUGCUAAUCUUGAGUAUAGGAGGGGAGAAUGGAACUUCUGGUGGAGCGGUGAAAUGCGUAGAUAUCAGAAGGAACGCCGGCGGCGAAAGCGAUUCUCUGGCCUAUUACUGACACUCAGUGUGCGAAAGCUAGGGGAGCAAACGGAAUUAGAUACCCCGGUAGUCCUAGCCGUAAACGAUGGGCACUAAGUAGAGGGGUUUUA